UGGGGAAUAUUGCACAAUGGACGGAAGUCUGAUGCAGCAACGCCGCGUGCGGGAUGACGGCCUUCGGGUUGUAAACCGCUUUCAAUUGUGACGAAGCUUUUUUGUGACGGUAGCAGUAGAAGAAGCACCGGCUAACUAUGUGCCAGCAGCCGCGGUGAUACGUAGGGUGCGAGCGUUGUCCGGAUUUAUUGGGCGUAAAGAGCUUGUAGGCGGUUUGUCGCGUCGGGAGUGAAAACUUGGGGCUUAACCCUGAGCUUGCUUUCGAUACGGGCUGACUUGAAGGAGGUAGGGGAGAAUGGAAUUCCUGGUGGAGCGGUGGAAUGCGCAGAUAUCAGGAGGAACACCGGUGGCGAAGGCGGUUCUCUGGACCUUUCCUGACGCUGAGAAGCGAAAGCGUGGGGAGCGAACAGGCUUAGAUACCCUGGUAGUCCACGCCGUAAACGGUGGGUACUAGGUGUGGGGGACAUUCCACGUUCUCCGUGCCGUAGCUAACGCAUUAAGUACCCCGCCUGGGGAGUACGGCCGCAAGGCUA
rnacentral:rRNA from 1 species